rnacentral:misc_RNA from 1 species
AUAACUUAAAGGAGAUAGAGAGUGAGGUGAAAAACCUGGUCAAACAUUCCUAAGAUAACCUGAGAUAACUGAGAAAUCUUGUUUCAUUAACCAAAAAUAAUCAAAACAAAAAACUUGUUCUUGAUAUUUUUUGGAAUUCAUUACAAAAGAAUAUAAAACCAUCCAAAUGAUUGAGAAGGACAACCUGCAAAUUAGAGUUUAGUGGUUAUUUUAGGUUGACUUGUAAGCUAGAAAAGGUG